CAGGGGCCUCGCCGGGGCAGGGUGUGGGGCUGGCAGCGGCGGGCGGGCAGAGCCGCCCUUCGUGUCCGACCCCUCUCCGCCCGCCCCGUGCCCCGCGGGUGGGCCGGCGGGACCCCUGCCGUCCUCGAGGCUCGGCGGGGCGCUGCGCACACACGGCUCGGCUGUCCUUCGCCUCCUGGAGCAGCCCCGGCGCGGCAUGAGGCGGGGAGCGGGAUGUGUAGGGUGUCUCCUGCACGGACCUUGGGGAGCGACGGGACCCCCAGUGCGGCCGGGCCGGGCAUGAGGGGAGAAGCGGCGUGAGCCGGGGCAGGGAGGUCGGGUGUUGGGGAGCACCGUGGGGCACAGGGGUGAAGCCGCGGUGAGCGGUUGGAGAAAUGGCAGCAUCUUCUCCGGAGAAGGGACACGGGACAGACCCUGCGGCCCGCUCACAGCCAGCAGCAGGAACACUAGCAUGUGUAGUCCAGAACCGUGUCUGCUGUACAGCGGUACUCAGGGUUCGGUCCUGAGGUCGUCUUCUGUCAAAGCAUGACAGAAGCUCUUCUCCCUCUUGUUGGACUUCGCCACCCCAGGGGAUGGUGUGUGGUAAAGAAAGGAGCUCGCACAUCUUUCCGGGGCUGGUGUUGGCAGAGCUCACCUGGUGCGGGCGGGCGGCCGUACCGUGUUACAGCACUGCGUUUUCAUAACAGCUGGGUGCUUGUUUGGUUUGGUGGAGGAGGGUGGAACCCCGGAGUACCAAAAGAUGCUUCAUAUAUCCAGUAGUUACUCUGCACGAUCAUUUGUAAGUGUACAAGGAAGAUCUCGGUAUAGUCGUAAGUAGAUCUAGUUAGGAAUUAGACGCAGGAAGGAAGUAAUUUGUGUUGUUCAGUAUACAAGUGUUUUAGAAACAAAUCUGUUUAUUAUAGAGAAAAUCGGAACCUCUAUAGAAAAAAAAAAAAUGCUAGAAGUGGUGGGAUUUGGAGAAACUUAGCAUCUCUGGGGAUCUGGAAGCCUAGAUCCAGCCUAGAAAGUCAGAUAAACUAAACUUUCCAAAGUGUAGUUUAUCGGACAAACUUCAUGCCUUGAAGUCCGUUCUACGAUGUACGUAAUAUUUACCUCAUUUUUAGAGACACGAGCAAGGAUAGUCUUUGAACACUGCCCAGUAAAUAAGUUCUUGUUUGUUACUUCAUCAUCAGGACUACAAAACACUCUGCAACACCUGACUUGCAGAAGAAAACCAGUAAACUUGCAUGGCAUUUUAUCUUCCUUCCUCACUCUCAAAUUAAGUUAAUGCGUUGCUCUGUGUCAACAACAGGAAUUUUGGAUUUGAAUACUCGCCUCUAGUGCAAAUGACCUGUUCUUCUGUGCGUACAUACAUAUGUCCAUGUGUGUAUAUGCUCAGGUGGUACAUACUGAUAGCGGAGCCACUCUCUCUGAGUAGCAGGCAGGACCCUUUGCAUGGAGAAGGGAAUGGGAUUUGCUUCUGUCUGGCUUGCCAAGGUCAAUCACAAAGUCUGAAGCAAAGCCAGGAAAAGUAUCCAGAUCUCCCAGCUCUCUGCUUUUGCCACAGGGCUGCUGCUUCAUCUCUUUCUUUUCUGUUGCCAGUAGACUAUGUUCUUUACAGUGUGUUUGUAAAAAAUUGUAAUUGACUUACGCUCUCACCCUGCAGUUGAUAAGCACUACAGCCAGCAUGAGAAGGUUGAACUGCAGAUGUUGGAGCCGGUAGCAAUGCACAGCAUGUGAGCAGCACACCGAGCACAGAAAUGCUGUUUGCACCUAUGGGUUUGCCUGUCCCAAGCCUUGGCAGAGCUGAGAUCUGUGAAAAGUCCUGUGCACAGGCAUGAAGAGAAAUUCUACGAUAAUCCCAUACAGUGGAAGAUUUCCCGGACUGUUUCAUCAUCAGUGUUGUCUUUAAAAAUAAUUACUUUUGUAAGAAGUCAUUAUUUGUAUUCGUUUUUAAAAUUCUGACUUCCACAAAAUACAUAAUCUUAACAGUGUUUUAUAGUAGGAAGUGUGUGAUUUUGAAAAUGGCGAUGACAAAGCUAUUGAUAGAAAAGGACUGAUUACUGUCUGCAACCUGAAUCAAUAGUCCGUGCUCAGUUAUAAUGAGGCCUAAGUGCAACCCACUGUAAGGCCAGGGUGAAAUGUGAUUUCAGUGUCAGAGAAAACAACAGAAAGAGAAAAGGUCUUCCUCCUUGGCUUCAUGUCCUGCAGAGACGAAGAUCUGAAAGUGGACAAAAAUUUUGUGUGUGUUGACUUCUUUCGUUGAUCUGUCGCCAUUUAACUCCCAGACUUGCCUUUCCAUACAGCAAAAGAGCAAGUCCCCAGGGACAGCAGAGUGGCUGUGGCAGUGCAAUUGCUAUGCAUUCCUCAGGGAUUGGAGAGGUUCAGGCUCUGGGCUGUGACUGUGAGAAAACAGGAGCAAACCGUGGUGAUUCCUGGUCUGUAUGCCUCAUUUAAUUCCUUACCUGUAAGGCCAGCCACACUGUGCUUUGCUGCAGAGCCAUGUGGCAUGGUGCAUGAGACAUGAACCUUUGUGAUGGGAUCGCUGUCAAGUGCCCAGACUGCACUGAUUCCACCCCCAGUUGACGCAAAGGCCUGUGCAGAUCAUAGGCUCUGGGACAGAAUCACACUGCUCUGGAGAGCCAGCUGAACGCAUUGCUGUCAUGGAUUGGCACAAGGUCAGUGUUUAGAGAAGUGAGAGAAUUGAAAAUAUCUCCUUAGUUUUCCAUAACCCUGAUGCCUUGUGGGUUACAAAGGACAAAUAGCCAGUUGGUUGUGAUGCUAGCUCUCAAUUUGACUCCAUGUGUUUGAAGCUAAAACAAGUAUUUUAUAACAAGCCUCUUCCAUUCCUACUAGUGCGUGACCCCAUCAGAGCUGCAUCUUAAACAUAAAUCCUUUCGGAUUCUUUGCCAUCUAAGCCAGGUAUGUUUCUGUUCCUCCCACAUAAUUUCCUGUGUGGUUGGUACUGAAUUAAAGACUUGAUUCACAAGGAUGGGAAAAGAAUAGAUGACUCUAGCACACAUAAUGUUUUCAAGCACAAAUUAAUAAUUGGUGUGCCGGAGCAUUUGUAGGAAGUAACUUUUAUAGUGGUGAGAUAAAUUCAUAUAGUCUCCAAAGCUUUGGCAGAACCAAGCCCUGAAGUCCCUCUGUGUGGAUUUCCGUGAAGUAACUUGUGUUUGAUUUAGGUUGUAUCUUUCAUUUAAAUAUUGCCAGAGGCAAGGAAUCUGUGAGCAAUCCAGGAAAACUGUCCAUGUGAUAGUUCCCUCACUGUUGGAAACCCUUGCUUCUGCUCUGGACAGGCCUACUCAUGACAGCUUCCAGCUGUGGGAUCUCUCCUGCUUUUGUCUUGUGGAUGAUCAAACUUUUACUCCCAACCAGGACUCAGCUCAGCCCACAGCCAUCUCUUUAAGAGACUGAAGAGAUUGAAAUCUUGCAGUCUGUCACCAAAAGGCAUCCUAUUCUGAUUUGUAAGCACUAGUGUGCACGUUUUCUCUAUUUCGUCUCCACCUUAUCUGUUGGUCUGUGCUGCACAUACCAGACAUGAACAUGGUAUUCCAGCUGUUAUCACACUAAACCCAAAUACAGACAUGAUACAGCUUAUUUUGCUGAUGCCACAUUUAAGAAGCUGUUUAUCCCUCUCAGAUACUGUAACUCUAAAGCCUGGAAACUCAGGUUCAGCUGUGAUUCUCAUGCCUUUUUCAGCAUCUCCGACCCUUCCCCUCCAAUGCACAUAACGCCUAUCUUAAAACUAUGCUUUAUUAUUCCUACAAUAUGAUUUUUAACUUGGAUCAUGCUCAAACGUGUGUUGUUCACCCAAAUGCAAUUUUGCAAACUGGUUUGCUCCGCACCAGUGACACAUUCUUUAAUUUCCACCUCUUCUCUCUGUCUUGGUGUCAUCUGCAGAACUUUGUAGUAAUCCUUUUGUUUCUUGACAGUCCUUGAUAAAACAUCAGUUGGUGCAGAUAAAGAAGUGACCGAGCAGGGUUAUAGGAACAUUUUUUUCGGUUCAAAAAUUGUUGAUAAGUAGAUGCCGCCUUGAAAAUUCACGUCAUGCACUAGCCAUCCCAGGGUGGGAAAGGGCUAGAGGGAAAAUAAACAACUUGGACAAACCCCAGCUGAUUACCAGGGUCUGCCAGCGAGCAAAGGGAAGGGGUGCAAGGACUGAGGAGACUCUGAGCCAAACGUCCCAGGGUGGCACCUAGGGAGCAGUGCGGGCUGCCUGCAGUGCCCGAGCGCCCUUCCAGGAACACCAUGGUGCUGUGUUAGGGAUGAUUAGUUAGACAACCAUUGUGUAUGUGUCAUGCUGGGUUUAUAUUGUUCCGGUUUCUUAAUCAAUGUGUCCUGCUGCAACAAGUUGAAGGCCUUAAAGAAGUCCAGCAGUUUUGCAUCAGCUUCAUUCCAUUUAUCGCUCAAUCUUGUAAUCUCCUUGGUGAAAGAUAACAAGUCAGUUUGAAAGGGCCUCUUCCCAUAAACUCCUGUUGAUUGGCGUUAAUUAUGUCUCCCUCCCUUAAUUCUUUGUUAAUCUAGAUCCAUAUGAGUCAUUCCAUUUUACUGCUGGGACUCGUGUCAGGAGACAAGCCUAUAAAUACUUAGAUCUUUCUACCUUUUCCAAAAUCUUUCCCAACAUCUGCUUUCCUUUGGAGCUUCCCCACUGCCCAGAAAGUUACUGGGGAUCACACACAGCUGUCGUGCUGUGCUUGUGCAUUGAAGACAUCCUUGCUAAUCAGCCUGACAAAGCCAGCUGCAGUAUAUAUUCCACUGAAACAAGGGGGUUUUGUACAAUGAAUUAACUCUACAACCAUAAACUACCUUUGCAAAAGCAUGGGAAGAAAUAUUUCAUUUGCAUGUUUAUUUUGAGUUUCUGUAUCACAACCUACACAACUGUGCCUACAAAGGGCCUUUUUUACAUGCAUGGAUGAUUUAAAAAAGAUGAUUUAUAGAAGACCAGCCAGAGGGAUGCACAGCACAGAUGGGUUUUAUGUAUGGUUCCCAGCGUGGUGCUUCAUAGCACCUUUGUUCUAGUGGUAAACUACCUUUUGCCUUCCAUUCUCCUCAAACAAUGACAGAAACCCAAGAGAUGAACAGUGCCAUACUUAUUACUGUUACUGUAGAUGUGUAAUAAUAUCAUCACUUUUUUGUUUGUUUGUUUCAGAACAUCAAGGAGAUGACAAAUAGAUAACAUAUUCGGGCUUGUUUAAUAGCAAAAGGUAUCUGAAAUUGCUGGUGAGGGCCAGGUUCCCCAUGGCUGCCCCUGCGCAAGCCUGGCUGGCACUCCCCGCAUGAAGGACAUGCUCCCAGCUCAAGCUUUGGAGGAACGGGGAACGGGACGUCUUCAUCCCAAAAUAGUAAGGGCACAUGCUCUGCUUCUUCCCAGCCACGAGUGCCAGUCACAGCUUAGCCUUUUUUUCACUGAUGACAAUAAACAUUUUGGGAUUAGGUUUGCGGUCUGUAUGAUUCACAUAGCUUUGUAUGACUUGCUACAAGUGCCUGGUGCUAUAUAAACCUAAUAAAUGAAUAGUCUCUUUUGGCA